UACGUAGGGGGCAAGCGUUGUCCGGAUUUAUUGGGCGUAAAGGGCGUGUAGGUGGUUUCGUAAGUCUGGCGUGAAAUUUUUCGGCUUAACCGGGAAAGGUCGUCGGAUACUGCUGAACUAGAGGACGGUAGAGGCGUGUGGAAUUCCGGGUGUAGUGGUGAAAUGCGUAGAGAUCCGGAGGAACACCAGUGGCGAAGGCGACACGCUGGGCCGUACCUGACACUGAUGCGCGACAGCAUGGGGAGCAAACAGG
rnacentral:rRNA from 1 species